ACAGAAUUUUCUCAAGUCAGUUUUUAGGGUCCUCAAUAAACUUCAAGAAUAUAAAGGAGUUCCAAUAUAAAAAAGUUGAGGAAUACUCUUUUAUAAAUUUAGAGCUCCUUCUAGAUAUGGUGGUUUCAGGAAUCCCCUGGCUGACUUGGAAUGUAUCCCCCAGGAAAGAAAGGACUGCUGUAUAUGAAAAAACUCAUCACAGCUGUCUUCUUGGUUCUGCAACCAGUAUGAAGCAUAAUAACAUAACCAACGUUAGUUUAAUUAAAGUAAGAAAAAAGUGUCCUUGAG
rnacentral:lncRNA from 1 species